rnacentral:rRNA from 1 species
CCUACGGGGGGCAGCAGUGGGGGAUAUUGGACAAUGGGGGAAACCCUGAUCCAGCGACGCCGCGUGAGUGAAGAAGUCUUUCGGUAUGUAAAGCUCUUUCAGCAGGGACGAAAGAAAUGCCGGUACCUGAGUAAGUAGCCCCGGCUAACUACGUGCCAGCAGCCGCGGUACUACGUAGGGGGCAAGCGUUAUCCGGAAUUACUGGGUGUAAAGGGCGCGUCGACGGUAAUGAAAGUCUGGGGUGACAGGCCGGGGCACAACCCGCGGACUGCUAUGGAAACUGUGUAACUGGAGUGCAGGAGAGGCAGGCGGAAUGCAUGGUGUAGCGGUGAAAUGCGUAGAUAUUAGGAGGAACACCGGUGGCGAAGGCGGCCUGCUGGACUGUAACUGACGUUGAGGCUCGAAAGCGUGGGGAGCAAACAGGAUUAGAUACCCGAGUAGUC